ensembl:lncRNA
GCUUCUCUUAAAAAUAGUAUUGCUAGAGUGAAAAAAUAACCAAAAGAUUCCCACCACUUUCAGAAUCCGCAGCCUGGAUGUCUCAGGAGAGAAGCUGGGUGUGCCUGUGCAUGUACGUGCCUUAUGAUGCUGUCCCUGGGAUGUGAGUUCUUUGCUCAGAUGGCAUUGGCAGAGGUGCCACGUGAUGGGUUUGGGAACAAGGAAGAAAGGCAAAGAGGAGAUUGGACAAAGACACGUAGAAACACAAUACAUUGUAGGAGUGGUAAAAGGAGCAUCACAAGAAUCUUGACAAACUGCUCAGACCUCCUUAACUGGGGCUCGUGCCAGCUUCUCAAGAAUGGGAACAAGGCCUUCUUCAUCUCUGCAUGGUCUGGUAGCUCAGUGCCUGGCACUUGGUGGACAUUCAUUAAAUGAAUGAAUGUAUGAAUCAAUGAAUGAAUGAACACAUGAACAAUUCUCCUGUCAUGCAUUAUCUGCUGAAGAUGCCGGCUAUAAGUUCACAGGACUGUUCCUCUCUUCUCCCGCCCAUAUUUUGCUCACCUCAAUACCAGCCCACACUGUCUUCCUGGACUUCCUGUGAUUCUUUCAGUGAUCACAUAGUCAUUGCUGCAUAAUUUAAGUGUCCCUGUUCCUUGCAGCUGCUUCCUGUAUGCUAGUCAUGUAAAGGCCCUUCUUAAGUGAUUGCAUCCCUCACAAUACUUAGCAUAUAUUGACUGUUGAUUGGUUGGAAAAUAACCCAUUAUAGGGGGAGGGGGCAGAAACUGACAUCAUGGAGUGUCAGGCACGGUGCUGGUGCUGUGCAUACACUCAAGAAGGGCCUGGGUAAUGCAGCAUGGUGAAGGGAAAAUGGCGGACAGAGCAAUUUCGUCAUCUGAAGGCCUUUCACAGAGAGGCCCUGAACCCAUGGCUCUCCUUCUCUGAGGAUAGAAAAGGAGGAAGUGUGUCUGUCCUGCAGGAUGUGGGAUGGAUAGAUGGAUGCGAAAUUAAGCACUGAAGUCGGUUGCUUGGAUAGGCAAUGACUGCCCCCUGCCCCCACUUGAAAAUCCUUGAAGGCAGAAGGGAUCAUCCACCCAGGAAGCUGAGGCUGCAGGAUAAGCUGGCCUUUUCCUGAACAGUGACAGUUGGAGCGUUCACCCUCACUGUCCUUGUCAGAGUUACAGACAAGAAAGAAGAAUCCUUUUGGGUAAAGUGUCUUAAAGGAACCGUUGAUUUACCCUUUUGCUUUAUGAUCUCCUGAUGUAGUGAGCAAGGUUCAGAAAGAUUAGCUAACUGCAAGCAGACCGACCUUUCUGUGCAGAAAAUAAGGUAGAUUCUCAUUAUCAUCCUGCUCAUUUCCCCAGGAAUUAUGUAUUCCCCGGCCAGAAAACGACCUCCAAACCUUUUCAACUACAUGCAGCAAAAGGCUGAUACAAUGCCUUCUGCAUUUGACUGUACGCCCCUUGCAGUGAUUAAUGCUGCCUCCCUAACUACAGUGUCGGGAACGACUGUCAAGCCCAAUUAUUUCUCUAGGAUCUCCUGAUAGUAAAUGCUCAGUAAAUACAUAGAUGAACAAUAGCCAAUCCUAUACAAUAAUCUUAGAGUACUUUCCCCACACAUUUCCUAACUGAAUCCUCACAACAACCCUGUGAACUAGUUACUGUGAUUAACUCCCAUUUUCCAGUUUAAGGAAACUGACGCUCAGCGAAGUUAACUGGUACAUCCUGUAUCAUACAGCAAAUAAGGAAGAAUUCUGCCCAGUACACCUUACUGAUUAAAUAAACUAUUUAGCCUGAAGAAAAAGUGUCAACUCAGUCUUUCUCCAUCACGCAUCUUAUCCCACGGAGCAACCUGCAUUAUAUUUCAGGUUCAGGCAAACUAAGUCCGCGCUUUAGUAUAUGGUGAAUAAAUGGAUGGACACAGUGGCGGCUUUGUAUAAAG